GCUGUGUUUAUUCUUUAAUUCAAGUGUUGGAACGACAACCUAUCGCGUACUGCAAAUGUAUCGAUCCUGAAACGUAAGCGCAUAGUUUGGGAGACCGACUGGCAUAAUUUAGGUUUCGCUCACGCCGACACCACAAAACACACUGUCGGACAGUACAUACAUACAGCGAAACAUUUAACACCAUUAUUUUCCUUGCAGUAGACGUACCACAAGCGACAAAACAAGAACACCGGGCAGCUAGAGCACGUUGUUGUAUGCUGCGGAGCAGCUAAAAGUAUGACGGUCAGCACCAGUUUUCGUAUGCAUAUGGACGAGAACGCCAACUUUCAAACAAUUAUUACUUUUUGCCCUAAUCUCAUGCGCGACUUUCUUCCCACGUGAAACCAUUCGCAGCGUAAGCAACGUGGAUCCAGCGUCAUCGCCAUCAAAAAAACGACGACGCGCCGCUUUCAGAUUCGCAAAUGGCGAUUUAAACGAGGAAGUUAUUUUUCAUGCUAAGUCGUUCACGAAAUUCCGAGUGCCAAACACAGUGGACGGCACGGAGGACAAAAACGAUAAAACGCUGUCGUGCUUUACGACGAUGAACAACAAUUGCGAAUAACUUUCGAUCAUUUGAAGCUGUUCCGGGUGCUUCCACUGCCUGCAACGGCGGCUGCUCCGGGUCCACCGUCGUUUUGUAGCUCUCCAAUGAGGGACCAUUGCGAUCACUGCUGUUGGGAUGCCGAAGCGCCUCAGGGACUCAAGCUUCACCCUCUGCAUCACUUGGUGGAUCUGGCCUAGGACUGCCUUUUUCAUGUGUGUGGCCAACCUUUGUAGGGUUACUUCCUAAAAGAAAAAAUAAACGACACUU